GAUGAAGAACGUAGCGAACGUGCGAAACGUAAUGUGAAUUGCAGAAUUCAGUGAAUCAUCGAAUCUUUGAACGCAUCUUGCGCUCCUUGGUAUUCCGAGGAGCAUGCCUGUUUGAGUGUCGUGAAUACUCUCAACUUCAACCCUUUUUUCGGGAAGGGAGGAAGGUUGGACUUGGGUGUUUGUUGAAGUGCGAGCUUCGACUCAUCCUAAAUGCAUUAGCGAUCUGCCUCGAUCACACACAAUGUGAUAAUUAAAACUAAAGCAUUGUUUAAUGAUCAAGUCGAGACUGCUUCUAACUGUCGCAAGACAAUAACGUGCAUACAUUUGUGCAUGUCAUUUGACCUCAAAUCAGGUAGGACUACCCGCUGAACUUAAGCAUAUCAAUAAGCGGAGGA
rnacentral:misc_RNA from 1 species